AUGAAGCUGGGGUAUUCUCGGUUUCUUCUUUCUGGCUAUAUUUUCCUCAGCCUUUUAGGGAUUUGGGUGGUGGCCACGGCCGUUGUACCGGCAGGCCAUCGUCCCGGCUGCCCGGCGAAGUGCGGCGACGUCGACAUCCCGUUCCCGUUCGGCAUCGGCGAGCAGUGCGCGUUGCACAACGGCUUUAAGCUGAACUGCACGACCGUGGAAGGUGUCAAGAAGCCUCUCUGGUCCCCGCAGAAAAAAAAAAGAAGCCUCUCUGGUGGGAUGUUCGAGGUGGCUAAGAUCUCCUUGGCUAACGGCAAGGCAACGAUGAACUCCAAGGGGAUCUCGUGGCAGUGCUAUUUCCCAGCAAAUCGCACUAUGAUGUACAGAAAUGCGCGGUUGAACCUCACCGAGACACCUUUCUGGAUAUCGGAGGUGGAUAAUACGGUUGUCGUCAUCGGGUGCAAUACUCUGGCUUAUAUGAUCAGCUCUUCUUAUGUAAUAGGUUGCGUCUCCACCUGCGAGGGCGCACCCCUGGAGGAUGGUACAUGUUCUGGCGCCGGUUGCUGCCAAGCCGAUGUCCCGAAAGGCAUACAAUAUUAUAAUGGUUAUUUCAACGAAAACUAAAACACCACAAAGACUUCACAAGACAUCACCUGCAGCUACAUAACGGUGAUGGAAAAAGCAGCUUUCAACUUCAAAACUAGCUAUGUCAAAUCCACAGUGUUUUAUGAUACAUACAAGGGCAAAGUUCCUAUUGUCCUGAACUGGCAAAUAGCAGAAUCGGCUUGUGUGGACGCUAAGAAGAACACAAGUUCCUACGCAUGUGUCAGCAACCACAGUGCGUGUGUUGAUUCCACCACCCACAAGCCAGGUUAUCGCUGCAAGUGCUCUGAUGGGUAUGAAGGCAACCCUUACCUCGCCGGUGGAUGCCAAGAUAUCGAUGAGUGCGGGCGCCCUACCAAUCCUUGUGGCGAUGGUAUAUGCAAGAACACGCCGGGAAACUACAGCUGCUCAUGCUACCCAGGGAAUUAUAUGACGAAUGGCGUUUGUGUGCCAAUUCAAAAAAAGCCUUCCCGUUUUCAGGCAAUGCCAGUUGUAGGUGCAAGUGUGGGACUUGUGGUCCUUGUGAUUGCUGUAGCAUGUGCAUGCUUGAUCCAAGAGAGAAGAAAGCUACAGAAUAUGAAACUGGCCUACUUUCGGCAGCACGGUGGUACGGUAUUAUUUGAAGAGAUGAAGUCACAGCAAUGCAAUGCAUUCAGAAUCUUCUCAGAAGAAGAAUUGCAGCAAGCCACGAACAGGUUUAGUGAAAAACAAGUCAUUGGUCGGGGAGGCCAUGGAACUGUCUACAAGGGGCUUCUCAAGAGUAAUGUUGAAGUAGCAGUCAAGAGAUGCAUGACAAUCGACGAGCAACAUAAGAAAGAAUUCAGCAAAGAAAUGCUGAUACUAGCCCAGAUCAACCACAGAAAUGUCGUGAAGCUCCUCGGGUGUUGCCUGGAGGUGGAAGUCCCCAUGCUGGUGUACGAGUUCAUCCCAAAUGGCACGCUCUUUGACCUCAUCCACGGCAACCAUGGCUGGCGCAUCUCAUUGGCCACUCGCUUGGACAUCGCCCACGACUCUGCCGAGGCACUCUCCUACCUUCAUUCGGGGGCUUCGACUCCGAUUCUCCAUGGUGAUGUUAAAUCAUCCAACAUUCUUCUCGACGAUAACCACAAAGCUAAAGUCUCCGACUUUGGCGCCUCCAUCCUUGCACCAACUGACGAGUCCCAGUUUGUCACACUUGUGCAAGGAACUUGUGGGUACCUCGACCCAGAAUACAUGCAAACAUGUCAGUUGACAGACAAGAGUGACGUGUACAGCUUUGGUGUUGUUCUUCUGGAGCUGCUCACAUGCAAGAAGCCAUUUAAUCUCGAUGCCCUUGGGCAGGAGAAGAGCCUAUCAAUGAUGUUUAUGUCUGUGAUGAAGGAGAAUAGGCUUGAGGUUAUCUUGGAUGAUGGGAUCAAGGACGAGGACGACAUGGAGAUUCUUGAGGAGAUUGCGGAGCUGGCAAAGCAUUGUUUGGAGAUGUCCGGUGAGAACAGGCCAUCAAUGAAGGAAGUCGCAGAGAAGCUCGACAGGCUGAGGAAGGUGAUGCAUCAUCCAUGGGUGCAACAGAACCCUGAAGAGAUGGAAAGCUUACUUGGGGAACCCUCGGCAAUGGUCCACUCGACGAUUGUCAGUGAUCAAUAUUUCAGCAUCGAGAAGAAAGUUGUGACUAAUCUGCAAUUAGAGCAUUGA
rnacentral:rRNA from 1 species